ACGGAAGGCAGCAGUGGGGAAUAUUGCACAAUGGGCGGAAGCCUGAUGCAGCGACGCCGCGUGGGGGAUGACGGCCUUCGGGUUGUAAACCCCUUUCAGCAGGGAAGAAGCGGAAGUGACGGUACCUGCAGAAGAAGCGCCGGCUAACUACGUGCCAGCAGCCGCGGUAAUACGUAGGGCGCGAGCGUUAUCCGGAAUUAUUGGGCGUAAAGAGCUCGUAGGCGGCUUGUCGCGUCUGCUGUGAAAGCCCGGGGCUCAACCCCGGGUCUGCAGUGGGUACGGGCAGGCUGGAGUGCAGUAGGGGAGACUGGAAUUCCUGGUGUAGCGGUGAAAUGCGCAGAUAUCAGGAGGAACACCGAUGGCGAAGGCAGGUCUCUGGGCUGUAACUGACGCUGAGGAGCGAAAGCAUGGGGAGCGAACAGGAUUAGAUACCCUGGUA
rnacentral:rRNA from 1 species